UCAAAGCUCUAGAUUGUCUUCUUC
rnacentral:siRNA from 1 species